UUGCUGCGUCGAGACACACAAACAUAACACACACACACCACAUUUUAUUCUCUAAAUCAAUCUAUGAUUUAUUGAAAUCAAAUGGGAAAUAAAUCUUAAGUGUAUAACAAAAUCAUUUGGCAAGCAUAAUUUUCUUGUAAUCAGCAUCCUCAUCGUCAUCUUCUAAACUUUAUUUCAAGAACUUCAAAUUGGUUUGGAUAGACGUGGAGACUAAAUUGCUCAUUUACAAAUCUGCUCAUCCUUUUAAUUCGUCAAUCUAUAAGGUAAUACGUUUCAAGGAUAUUACUUAUGAAAUUCUUGUGAAAAGACUUACAUGACCUCCAUCCGUUUGAGGAACCAGGCUAGCAGGAAGGAUAAAUGUUGUUCCAAGCAUCUUGCUUCCACUGCAUUAGAAGGAAACCUUUAAUACAAAGUCAAGAAUCUGUCAAUUCCCACUUGCAAAAUGAAGAAUCAAGAAUGAAGACGUAAACUUCAUUUUGUUUGUUCAUCUUAAACAACACUCCCAUCUUGGAUAAGUAGGGGUUAACCUGGUUGGAUCAGGGUAAUAAGAUCAACCAUUAAACCUCUACGGAAAAUGUAACUUACAUAGUCUAAAACAAUGGACGUUAACCAGAUUCAAAAUCUACAAUGACUCAUAACUUAAGAGAGUAUUCUCAUUGAUCAAA